CUGUAGCUCAGUGGUAGAGCGCACGCCUGAUAAGUGUGAGGUCGGAGGUUCGAAUCCUUCCAGU
rnacentral:tRNA from 1 species